AAAACCCUAAUUUCUAUCCAAUGGUUGAUUGACAUCUAUAGCCUUAUCAAACCACAUGUUGAGGAGCAGAAACUUACACAUGGCCUGCUAUAUGGAACACAUGCAUUGGGCCUGGUGGGAUAUAUAUUUCUCUUUUCCCAAUUUUUUUCUCAUUUGUGAAGUUUUUUUCUCUCUCUUCUCUCUUUUCUCUCUCAUACGAUCUCUCUCUCACUCUCUCUCUCUCUCGUGCUCUCACUCUCUCAUGUUCAUCAUCAUCAAGCCAAACACCAUCAAACUUUCAUCUUAAAUCAACAUGCAAUUUUGUAACCAAAAAAAAAUCAACAUGCAAUUCCAUAAAUAGGUUCCUCUCAUCUCAAGCUCCAAGGUUCUAAUGGUGUUCAAGUUUUACAGAGAAGUUAUAGAAGCAAUGAACAUGGGUACAAGAUGCAAGCUUUGGAAUUUUGAUCGGUGAUUUUUGAAGAAGUUUGGGUUAAACCCGUGUUCUAGGAUGAGGCUCCACUAAAAAGGAAAUGAGGUCUAGGGACGCGUUUGAAGUUGAGGUACUGAAGCUGUCAAAAUGGUUAAACCCGUGUUCUAGGACGAAGCUCCACUAAAAAGGAAAUGAGGUCUAGGGACGCGUUUGAAGUUGGGGUACUGAAGCUGUCAAAAUGGUGUUUUGAGGACUACAGGUUUGGGUACUCAAGCGGCACAAAAGGAUGGUUUUAGGCUUGCGAAAUAACGCCGUACUGUUGUUAAAUCUGUUAUCACCAUGUUCAUAGGACGCAUUCUACGCCGUAGUCGACGCCGAUAUUGAGGUUGCGCUUCAGAAAGCAGAAAUUAGCAGAGGUUACUCGAAGAGAUUCACAAAGAUUGGCAAUAAAAAAGGACAUUUCCUUAGUUGUUGCAUUGGGCUCUGCUACUCAAAUUGCAAUGUUUGUGGUAAAGGGAAAAGAAUUUCCACGGUUAGUAGUACAACGAAAUCAAACCUUCUAUUUCUGAUCUUUGGUUAAUAUUAUUGAUUUUUAUGGUUUUGUUUUAUGAUUUCUACAAAGAUCCAAUUCUGUCAUUGAUUUCCCUAUAUGGGUUUUCAAACUCACAAGUGAUUUUGUGGUACAAUAGAAAUUGGGAAUUGGAAGAAGUAUGUGAAACCCGUAUUCUGGACAGGGGCUCACUAAAACGUAUGAAUUAUGGAGCUGUAAUGAAUCCUGCAGACGCGUUUGAAGUUCAGGGUCAGGUGCAGAAUUUUGGGUUUGAGGUUAGCAUCAUGAUCAUCAUCUUGAGCUAUUGGGAAUUCUGUGGAGUAGCUCAUUUCUUAAAGUUUCUGAGUUAAUCUCAUUCAGGUGGGUUCCUUUAGGAAAAACUCACUUUAAUAGAGUAGCUUUAAUAGUUUCUGAGGGUAGUUUUGAUUCAGUUUCAAUUAUUGCUUUUGACCGUGUCGCUUCUACCGUCAAGUCUGCAGUUGAUAUUCAAACACCGGGUGAUCUUAUAACUCUUAUUGUUGCAGCUGCAACAGGUACUUUGUUAAUCUUUCUAUGAACUGACAUUAUCUAUAGUUUGGUUAUUUAAGCAGUUCAAUCGCGAUUUUGUCCUGGUUCAUUGUCUGGUUGGAUUUAUAAAACAUUGUUUUCUAUGCUUGUAAGAUGUAAGAUUUUCUAUGCUUGUAAGAUGUAAGAUUUUCUACGGAACAAUAUCGAUGAUUUGGUCUGAUGCAUUCUUUUUUUUCAUUGCAUUGUAAGCUUUGAGAGAAGAAGCAGCUUUGAGAGCGAGAUUUCCAAAAGAAGCAAAGAAGAAUGCAUCAAUAAGUCCCUAUGAUAAGGGAAUAGCAGAAACACAAUUUCCACAUGCUUUUGCUUUUGAGGGUCAGAUGUUUGAAAACCUUUCUCCAUGUGUGGGUGAUUUGUUGCAGGUUACAGAAAAAGGUCUAUAUGAUACCUCAAUAUGUAGAAUCUUAUCAAAAUGAUUUCCAACUCAAGCCAAUGCCAAUCAUGUUAUGCGGUGACUGGAAUGGAAGCAAACGCGGACAUGUUUACAAGUUCCUUAGGUCUCAGGGUUUUGAAUCAUCUUACGAUACUGCACAUCAUACACUGAUGCAGAUGUCGAUAAGUGGGUUAGUCACCGAAACCAUCGAGGAAAUAUAUGUGCUGUUGAUUUUAUUUGGCUCCUAAAUCCUGACAAAUAUCGAAAAUUACUAAAAUAAGUUGGAUUGAAGCAGUGUUUGGCAUGUUCAAGGUAUUCAUAUAACAUUUACUCGUAGAGUUAUUUUUACUAUCCCUGUUAGGAUUUUUACACGUACAAGAUUAGGCCACAUGUGUUUCCUAUACUACUGUCAGCUUCCUCAGCAUAAUUUUGCUACCAAUAGUUGGCAAUGCAGCUGAACAUGCAGGAGCAAUCAUUUUUGCUUUCAAGAACAAGCUGAUCAGAAGAGAGUUUUUUAUUGGUGUCAAAGUUUUUUAGCUGCUUAUUUCUCAAGGAUACAAAAAAUGUUUGUGGUAGGCCUGGUAUUCAAAUGCGGAUAAACUCGUGGCUAGACGGAGUUCUUGGUACUAAUUGUCUGAUUCCUCCUAAAUGGAAUUGGACAUAUCAGUUUCAAGUCAAGGAUCAAAUUGGGAGUUUCUUUUGAAAUUAAUUCUAAUCUGUCUUCUGAUGGUUCAACAUAACAUAGGCACACAACUAAUAUUCAUAUAUUUAAAGUUAACUCUGACCUUCUGUACAGGCAUUAUCAUGAUUUUUUUUCCACAAGGUGAGGCUUGGCGAUAAAGGGUGAGGCAGCAAGCGUUUGUGAUUACGAGUAAAGUUAGAAGAUAAUGAAUCUGACUCUAUGAGCAUGAGAGAGGAGACUUGGGACGCUGCACUAUAGCUGGAUAAUGGUGGUGAUGUGAAAUGUGGUUCUGUGUUAUUUUAUAUGUGUUUUAUUGUUAGAACAAAUAUCGGAAUUGUAGAAACUGAAUAACAGUUAAUAGAACUGCAGUAUCAUAUAAUUUCAUAAAUAUAUGAAUAAACCACUGAGAAAUUCUGAUUACA